rnacentral:rRNA from 1 species
GUUAAAGAAGAACGUGGGUAAGAGUAACUGUUUACCCAGUGACGGUAUUUAACCAGAAAGCCACGGCUAACUACGUGCCAGCAGCCGCGGUAAUACGUAGGUGGCAAGCGUUAUCCGGAUUUAUUGGGCGUAAAGCGAGCGCAGGCGGUCUUUUAAGUCUAAUGUGAAAGCCUUCGGCUCAACCGAAGAAGUGCAUUGGAAACUGGGAGACUUGAGUGCAGAAGAGGACAGUGGAACUCCAUGUGUAGCGUGCGUAGAUAUAUGGAGACACCAGUGGCGAAGGCGGCUGUCUGGUCUGCAACUGACGCUGAGGCUCGAAAGCAUGGGUAGCGAACAGGAUUAGAUACCCUGGUAGUCCAUGCCGUAAACGAUGAUUACUAAGUGUUGGAGGGUUUCCGCCCUUCAGUGCUGCAGCUAACGCAUUAAGUAAUCCGCCUGGGGAGUACGACCGCAAGGUUGAAACUCAAAAGAAUUGACGGGGGCCCGCACAAGCGGUGGAGCAUGUGGUUUAAUUCGAAGCUACGCGAAGAACCUUACCAGGUCUUGACAUCUUCUGACAGUCUAAGAGAUUAGAGGUUCCCUUCGGGGACAGAAUGACAGGUGGUGCAUGGUUGUCGUCAGCUCGUGUCGUGAGAUGUUGGGUUAAGUCCCGCAACGAGCGCAACCCUUAUUACUAGUUGCCAGCAUUAAGUUGGGCACUCUAGUGAGACUGCCGGUGACAAACCGGAGGAAGGUGGGGACGACGUCAAAUCAUCAUGCCCCUUAUGACCUGGGCUACACACGUGCUACAAUGGAUGGUACAACGAGUCGCGAGACCGCGAGGUUAAGCUAAUCUCUUAAAACCAUUCUCAGUUCGGACUGUAGGCUGCAACUCGCCUACACGAAGUCGGAAUCGCUAGUAAUCGCGGAUCAGCAUGCCGCGGUGAAUACGUUCCCGGGCCUUGUACACACCGCCCGUCACACCAUGAAGAUUUUGUAAA